rnacentral:rRNA from 1 species
CAAGCGGCGGAGCAUGUGGAUUAAUUCGAUGCAACGCGAAGAACCUUACCUGGGCUUGACAUACACCAGAUCGGCGCAGAGAUGCGUUUUCCCUUGUGGUUGGUGUACAGGUGGUGCAUGGUUGUCGUCAGCUCGUGUCGUGAGAUGUUGGGUUAAGUCCCGCAACGAGCGCAACCCUUGUCUUAUGUUGCCAGCACGUGAUGGUGGGGACUCAUGAGAGACUGCCGGGGUUAACUCGGAGGAAGGUGGGGAUGACGUCAAAUCAUCAUGCCCCUUAUGUCCAGGGCUUCACACAUGCUACAAUGGUCGGUACAACGCGUGUGCGACACUGUGAGGUGAAGCUAAUCGCUCUAAAGCCGGUCGUAGUUCGGAUUGGGGUCUGCAACUCGACCCCAUGAAGUCGGAGUCGCUAGUAAUCGCAGAUCAGCAACGCUGCGGUGAAUACGUUCCCGGGCCUU